UACAGAGGGGGCAAGCGUUGUUCGGAAUUACUGGGCGUAAAGGGCGCGUAGGCGGCCUUCUAAGUCGAACGUGAAAUCCCCGGGCUCAACCCGGGAACUGCGUCCGAUACUGGAAGGCUUGAAUCCGGGAGAGGGAUGCGGAAUUCCAGGUGUAGCGGUGAAAAUGCGUAGAUAUCUGGAGGAACACCGGUGGCGAAGGCGGCAUCCUGGACCGGCAUUG
rnacentral:rRNA from 1 species